AAGUCGAGCGGAAGGCCCCUUCGGGGGUACUCGAGCGGCGAACGGGUGAGUAACACGUGAGCAACCUGCCCCUGACUCUGGGAUAAGCCUGGGAAACUGGGUCUAAUACCGGAUAUGACGCAUUCUCGCAUGGGAUGUGUGUGGAAAGUUUUUCGGUUGGGGAUGGGCUCGCGGCCUAUCAGCUUGUUGGUGGGGUGAUGGCCUACCAAGGCGACGACGGGUAACCGGCCUGAGAGGGCGACCGGUCACACUGGGACUGAGACACGGCCCAGACUCCUACGGGAGGCAGCAGUGGGGAAUAUUGCGCAAUGGGCGGAAGCCUGACGCAGCGACGCCGCGUGGGGGAUGACGGCCUUCGGGUUGUAAACCUCUUUCAGCAGGGACGAAGCUAACGUGACGGUACCUGCAGAAGAAGCGCCGGCUAACUACGUGCCAGCAGCCGCGGUAAUUCA
rnacentral:rRNA from 1 species